CCCGUUAGCGCCACACGGACCUCCCAUGGCUUGGAUGGGGUCCCCCUAGAUGCCCCGCUUCGGGAACAAGCCUUCACGUGCGCGCUCCUCCUCCGGAGGUGACGUGUCCAACCGCGCCCCCUUUCUCCUGCAGCCGGGACGCUUUUCUUUCGCCGUGAUAUAAAAUUCAACAAUUCAAAACCUCCCUGCCCUCACGGAGCGUGGAUUCUAGCAGAGGAGGAAGUACAGUAAUGACAGUAAACGAAUGCGCGUGUAAUAUAAUCGCUGGAAAAAGAGGAAGGAGCACAGCAGCACGUGAAUGGGGUGGAGGGCGGCAGAGGGCGGCGACCCCAGAUUGGGGGAACCAGAGAGAGUCUCUCUGGGAAGGUGACGUCUGGGCAGAGACUGGAACCAGGGAGGAGCAGGAGCCACGUGAAUGUCUCAGGAAUGCUCCACACACACACGGCCGGUGAGCGGUGAGCACGGGAGCACUCCGGGAGCCAGAAGGGGAGCACUAUGGGAGACAGUGUGGGAGCACUCUGGGAGACAGAGUGGGAGCACUCCGGGAGUCAGAAGGGGAGCACUCCGGGAGCCAGUAGGGGAGCACCCCGGGAGCCGGGAGCCAGCGUGAGAGCAUUCUGGGAGCCACCACGGGAGCACUCUGGGAGCCAGCAGGAGAGCAUGCCGGAAGCCAGCAUGGGAGCACUCUAGGACCCAGCAUGGGAGCACAGUUGGAGCCAAGGAAGACCACAGAGCACUGGUGAGAUGUGAACCAAUUCGUGCUUUUGGAAGAGCACCCUGGCUGCUUCCCGUAGACCUGACCGCUGAGGACUUAGAAGAACAAGGCCACAGGCGCGGCCCCUGCAGAGAUGCGUGGUGCGAGCGGACAUCGCUGGUAGCAGCGGUGAAUCCUGUAUCUUCUCUGAAAUACGGUUUCAUCUCCCACAAUUAGAUCUAUGAUCUGCCUGCACUUGAACUGUUUUGUAAUCUAAUUGGCCAAGCCCCAUUUACUGAAAAGGUCAUCCUAAAUGAGACCCCAGAGAGAUGACCUCUACCGUGUGACCCAGCAGAAGAUGGCUCUCGACCAACCCGGAAGUGGGCUCGCUGGGACCCAACCCGGAAGUGGGCUCGCUGGGAACCCAAGUGGCCGCGUCUUCUCUGACUUCCGGCCUCCAGAACUGUGAAAGAAGUGUCUGUUGUGUAGGCCCCCCUGUUACAAUAUUUCGUCCCAGAGACUUGAGCGAGAUCGCCUGCUGCCGCAUGGACGGCACUGGAGGACAGGACCCUCCGCGAAAUAAGCCAGAGACAAAGGAGGAGGUCCGUCCGGUUCCGCUUGUUCGAGGCGCCUGCGCCCGGUCCUUCUAGCCAAAGAAUCAAGUUGACAUGAGGCAGAUUCACAAGAGAAAAUCUAACUUCAUGGCGUACAUGCAGGGAAUCCACACAGACCUGGAAAUUCCAAAGACAGCCAGGCAAAUUGAGGUGCAUGUCCUCCUGAACCGAGGAGAAGGGGGCUUGUAGCCCGCAGCCGGACAACAUGAGGUAGACUUCAGAGAAGCUGUCACAACGGCCACGAGUUUACGCAAUCCUCGGGUCCCCACUGGACAGGCCGCGGAGAAGGAUCACCAGAGACCUCCAGCGGCGGCCCAGGAAGGCCUGUCAGAUGGCCACGGCCCGCUCCCCGCCCGUCCCAGGACGCUUCCGGCCCCACACCUG